GAUGAACGCUGGCGGCGUGCCUAAUACAUGCAAGUCGAACGAGGUGCUUUUGUAGCAAUACGAGAGUAUCCUAGUGGCGAACGGGUGAGUAACGCGUGGGUGACCUGCCCCAAAGUGUGGGAUAACAGAUCGAAAGAUCUGCUAAUACCUCAUGUGGUUAUCGGGUUUAGAAAGCGAUAACUAAAGGAGUAAUCCGUCGUUUGGGGAGGGACCUGCCGUCCCAUCAGCUAGUUGGUGAGGUAACGGCUCACCAAGGCGACGACGGGUAGGGACCUGAGAGGGUCGGCCCCCCACAAUGGAACUGAAACACGGUCCAUACACCGUACGGGUGGCAGCAGUAGGGAAUAUUGCACAAUGGGCGAAAGCCUGAUGCAGCAACGCCGCGUGCGCGAUGAAGGUCUUCGGA
rnacentral:rRNA from 1 species